rnacentral:rRNA from 1 species
AUUGAACGCUGGCGGAAUGCUUUACACAUGCAGGUCGAACGGCAGCACGGACUUCGGUCUGGUGGCGAGUGGCGAACGGGUGAGUAAUAUAUCGGAACGUGCCCAGUCGUGGGGGAUAACGUAGUGAAAAUUACGCUAAUACCGCAUACGAUCUAUGGAUGAAAGCGGGGGACCUUUGGGCCUCGCGCGAUUGGAGCGGCCGAUAUCAGAUUAGGUAGUUGGUGGGGUAAAGGCUCACCAAGCCAACGAUCUGUAGCUGGUCUGAGAGGACGACCAGCCACACUGGGACUGAGACACGGCCCAGACUCCUACGGGAGGCAGCAGUGGGGAAUUUUGGACAAUGGACGCAAGUCUGAUCCAGCCAUUCCGCGUGCAGGACGAAGGCCUUCGGGUUGUAAACUGCUUUUGUACAGAACGAAAAGGUUUCUACUAAUACUAGGAGCUCAUGACGGUACUGUAAGAAUAAGCACCGGCUAACUACGUGCCAGCAGCCGCAGUAA